rnacentral:tRNA from 1 species
GCCGAGGUAGCUCAGUUGGUAGAGCACGCGACUGAAAAUCGCGGUGUCGCCGGUUCGAUCCCGGCCCUCGGCA